UUCCAUAGAGGCUUUGCAAGUGUGGCUGCUUUGUCACAUGUGUGUAAGUAGGUGGUCCAAAGGAGAGGGACUAUGUUGAUAUGCAGGGUUCUGACCUGUGAAUAUCUGAAUGACUAGUAGCUAAGCACU